rnacentral:rRNA from 1 species
GAUGAACGCUAGCUACAGGCUUAACACAUGCAAGUCGAGGGAAACGAUAUUGGAAGCUUGCUUCUGAUAGGCGUCGACCGGCGCACGGGUGAGUAACGCGUAUCCAACCUGCCCAUCACUUGGGGAUAACCUUGUGAAAGUAAGACUAAUACCCAAUGACGUCUCUAGAAGACAUCUGAAAGAGAUUUAAAAGAUUUAUCGGUGAUGGAUGGGGAUGCGUCUGAUUAGCUUGUUGGCGGGGUAACGGCCCACCAAGGCGACGAUCAGUAGGGGUUCUGAGAGGAAGGUCCCCCACAUUGGAACUGAGACACGGUCCAAAACUCCUACGGGAGGCAGCAGUGAGGAAUAUUGGUCAAUGGACGAGAGUCUGAACCAGCCAAGUAGCGUGCAGGAUGACGGCCCUAUGGGUUGUAAACUGCUUUUAUAAGGGAAUAAAGUGAGUCUCGUGAGACUUUUUGCAUGUACCUUAUGAAUAAGGACCGGCUAAUUCCGUGCCAG